UGGCCUUCAAAAUUUUAAUAUUAUUUUUCUAAAAUGUGUUGGUUAGGUUGGGCUGUUGCUUUGUCUUUACUUUCAUAUAUGUUUAUAGCUCCUCCUCCUAAGCAUUAAAAAAAAAAUUAUAUUGUUAAUAUAAGACAAUGUAUCUUACUUUUGGUAUGGAUACAUUAUAAUCCUGUUCCUUUACAUGAAGUAUACCUUAUACGAUUCAGGCAGUCAGGCUGCAACAGUGGAUAAGAUGCUGACUGAAAUUAGCUUUGAUCCAGCCUAAUCCAAAACUAUGUUCACGUUCAAAGACAAAUAAAUGUUCCGUCGAAGAAAUUUACUAUUAAAUUGUUAAAAAAAUUGUAAAA